CCUCAUCCCAUCAGAGAUUUGUAGGAGAUCAGGCUCUGAAGGCUAACCAAGAGUUUGAUGACAAGGGAGCAGCACUCCCAGCUGAGAUGCCCACUAAAGACACUUCAGAUGUGCAGCAAGUUGUCCCCUCCACGCAUCAGAGCUAGUGGAGAAGGUGAGAGAGUGAAGGAGAAAAACUGUCUACUAGGGAGAGAUAAAGCCAUUUGUUCUUCUCAGCCUCAGCCAAAUUAGUUCUUGUGCAAGUCUAAUGAGGCUUCAUGAAGUAAAUCAUACACAAACAUGCCCUCAUAAAAGAGUAAAGAAUUUAAUGAUACUAACAAACUGCUUUUCAAGGUAGUUUGGUUUUUAAAUAGACUAUGCAAUGGUAAGCUAUAUAUGUACCUGUAUUGGCAUAUAUGUGACAUUUAUAGGCCACCACUGAUGAGAAAGAUGAGCUUGAGCAUAAUAAUGGCUUAACCACUUGAUGAAUAAUCACCUGACAUUCAAUACAACUCCAGUUUUGAGUGGGAACCUCUCAGAUCAGGCUCUAAUCCAACAAACCUGGCUAAAGAUACCACCAGGUAACCUAGGAAAGUCCCUCUUAACCACUGCAUGGCUGUAAGAGAUAACAGAAGGGAUACUAUGCUGCUUGAUGAAUAUCAAGGGAAGCAUAAAUAAAACUGAUUUAUAAUAUUUAGUAUUUUCAUAGUUUGGCACCCUUUGAAUGGCUGUUAACUAAGCCUGGCAUGUGCAUGUGCAUGUUCAGAAAGUAUACAGAGCAUAAAUUGUUUUCGUUAGAAGAAAACAACACAAAACAAAUCUGAUCCUUAUGCCUAGACUGCCAAGGGUACAACAAACCAAAAUUUCAUCUUACAAUCUGCAUGCAACACCUUUCCCUAUAUGAAUGUAGCAUUUUAGCCACAAGUUCAUGGUUGUGGAAGACAAAGUUUAGUUGACCCAAGAGCUGAAUUAUGGCCACCUGUCCAUGUCACAGUGCUGUAAGCUGCCCUGCUCAGAAUGGCUUGUUGGAGCUUGGCAAUGCUCUUUACAGCAAAUGGUUCUGCAGAAAAUAUCCUCUGUUGCCUCCUUCA
ensembl:lncRNA